GAUUUCCGGUUGAUCCUGCCGGACCCGACUGCUAUCGGAUUGGGACUAAGCCAUGCGAGUCAACUCCGCAAGGGGUGGCGCACGGCUCAGUAACACGUAGUCAACCUACCCUAGGGACGGGGAUAACCUCGGGAAACUGAGGCUAAACCCCGAUAGGCUAUAGCCUCUGGAAUGAGCUAUAGCUGAAAUCUAUAUGGCCCUAGGAUGGGACUGCGGCCGAUCAGGUAGUUGGUGGGGUAAUGGCCCACCAAGCCUAUAACCGGUGCGGGCUCUGAGAGGAGGAGCCCGGAGAUGGGCACUGAGACAAGGGCCCAGGUCCUAUGGGGCGCAGCAGGCGCGAAACCUCCGCAAUGGGCGAAAGCCCGACGGGGUUAGUCCGAGUGGUCCCUGCUGAAGGGGCCUUUUGCCAGCUGUAAAAAGGCUGGCGAAUAAGGGGUGGGCAAGUUUGGUGUCAGCCGCCGCGGUAAUACCAGCACCCCGAGUGGUCGGGACGAUUAUUGGGCCUAAAGCAUCCGUAGCCGGCUUAGCAAGUCCUCCGUUAAAUCCAACGGCUUAACCGUUGGGCUGCGGAGGAUACUGCUAAGCUAGGGGGCGGGAGAGGCGAGGGGUAUUCCCAGGGUAGGGGUAAAAUCCGUUGAUCCUGGGAGGAC
rnacentral:rRNA from 1 species